UUAACUUUAGUCACCCCUUGAUUGGGUGUUUUUCUUUUUCCUUUCCUUUUUUUUCCUUUUCUUACAUCUUUUUUUUGUCUAUAUUUUCACUUAUUUCUUCAAAGAUUUAGGCUAAAGAGGGUGAAGCGCUCACUUUUCAAGUUGCUAUUAACUAUAACCUUAGAAGGUUUGGUGAUAAGCAAUUAUUACUGAAAGACAAUAAUUCAGCUUUAAAC
rnacentral:lncRNA from 1 species